AACAGCCCAGGAAAAGAAAGGAGGUACAAAUUCCCUGAAAAACAACUCCCAGAAAGGCACAUCUGUGUUGAUGUAUAAAAAUAGAAAAGGGUAGAAUCCUUGUGGCUGUGGAGCCCUAGCCUAGCAGCAGAAGCACGACAUCCUGUGACGUCAAGAAGUGGUGGCGGAAGUCGCUGCGAACAAUGGCCACAGAUGCCAGCCGAGGAGAGAGCACUGCUGGGGGAAGACGUGUGUGUCACCCGGCAGCUGCGGGGCGUGCACAGGAAGGAAGUGCAGGACCCGCGGCAUCACUGGCCUCCCUCCGAGCGCUGUUGUGAGCACCAAGCGACCUCAGAAGUGCAGGGCGCUCAGCACAGGUGGUUUAUCGUCGUUGUUGUUAUGCCCUUCAUGUGGCCCAUUUCCCGCAGACACACAAGACAGAAACAGUAGCCUCUUUCAAAGAGGAGGUAAGAAUUAGAUUAAUCAGCCCCCCAUUAACAUCCCACGGUGGAGGUGUCUGCUCCAUUCACCUAAUGACCCGAACCUUUGCAUAACUUGUGCAAAUAGCUCCUGGACAGCCCUUGGGAGGGAAACGCGCUCUUCUUUUUGACUUCUAUGACAUGACAAAUCCGAAUAUGCUGGUCUUGGCACCCUGAAACAAGCCGGCAAGGGAAAUUCAGAUUUCACGUGACGCACAAGCAAAAGUGAUUUUCGCCCACCUGGAAUUUCUUCCCUUGAAUAGUUCUAAAGGAUCCUAGAAUGAGAGGAUAACAUAGGUGACAGAAAGUGAAUGCAUGGGCACAAGACGUCAGUGGAGGAGAUUUGGUUGCCACAGGGAUGCACAGUGAGGAGCUCUGAACCGUACACGUGGGAAACCAAGCACUGGGACACCGGUGCAGCCUGGGAUGAGAAGCGAGGAAGACACGAGCCAUCUGUGGGCAGUGUGGCAGCUCCCAAGGGGGAGAGGCCAGUGUGAACCCCAGAAAAGUCAGGGUCUCAGAGCCGCAUGGCUCUGUGUUUAUAAUACCCUGAGGUUAUUGAACACAUUGCCCGGAGAAGCCUGUUCCAUAAAUCCACAAAGGGAAGGGCCGCUCUGUUCUCAAUUGGGGGUAAUCUUUUUUAAAAAUUUGUAUUAUUUUUUCAAUAUUGUUGCUACUGCUGUACCCUUGGCAUUAUCUGUGAGCAAUCCUGCGGACCUGGCAGACAUCGGGACCAACUUGCAUUGGGAAAUGCCACAAGUGGAAAAUUUGAGUAAAAAAUUUCAGGAAAAUACAAUAAAAUAUUCCUGAGAGUUAAAAUUAACCGUGGGGACGUCCCUGGCGGUCCAGUGGUUAAGACUCUGCACUUGCACUGCAGAGGACACGGAGUUCGAUCCCUGGUCAGGGAACUAAGAUCUCACACGCCUGCAUGGCGCCUCCCCCAUCCCCCCCCAAAAAAUCGCUUGAAUAUGUGUGGCUCAUAUUCUUAAGUUUAAAGUUAAGUUUCAAAGGGUGUCCCUUAUAACAUUCAUAUAAAAAAUUACCUCUUUUUUUUUUUUGCGGUACGUGGGCCUCUCACUGCUGUGGCCUCUCCCGUUGCGGAGCACAGGCUCCGGACGCGCAGGCUCAGCGGCCGUGGCUCAAGGGCCCAGCCGCUCCGCGGCAUGUGGGAUCCUCCUGGACUGGGGCACGAACUCGUGUCCCCUGCAUCGGCAGGCGGACUCUCAACCACUGCGCCACCAGGGAAGCCCCCCAAAAUUACCAUUAUUUUUGAAAGCUUCUAUUUCAAAUGAUAUUGGGAUUUUAAUAUUACUUCUAAGGACUGUGAUAUAUCAGAGCUACUACUGGCUCUUACAUGUCUCAGCUUUUCCUAUAAAUGGGAAUAAAAAGAUACCUGCUAAGAGGUAUGGAUUCAUUUUAAGUUAUUGGUGAUGCCCAACUAAACUAUCAUCAUGAAUUAAAAUGCAUUAUUAUUCAGAAAUAUUGAAAGCUUAAUAAGCGGAACGAGCUUGGUAUCUUAAAGACUGACUGAAAAUCAA